rnacentral:rRNA from 1 species
GAUGAACGCUAGCGGCAGGCUUAACACAUGCAAGUCGAGGGGUAUUGGUUUUCGGACCAAGAGACCGGCGCACGGGUGCGUAACGCGUAUGCAAUCUACCUUUCACAGAGGGAUAGCCCAGAGAAAUUUGGAUUAAUACCUCAUAGUAUUAUAGGAUGGCAUCAUUUUAUAAUUAAAGUCACAACGGUGAAAGAUGAGCAUGCGUCCCAUUAGCUUGUUGGUAAGGUAACGGCUUACCAAGGCUACGAUGGGUAGGGGUCCUGAGAGGGAGAUCCCCCACACUGGUACUGAGACACGGACCAGACUCCUACGGGAGGCAGCAGUGAGGAAUAUUGGUCAAUGGACGCAAGUCUGAACCAGCCAUGCCGCGUGCAGGAUGACGGUCCUAUGGAUUGUAAACUGCUUUUGCACAGGAAGAAACAACAUUACGUGUAAUGUCUUGACGGUACUGUGAGAAUAAGGAUCGGCUAACUCCGUGCCAGCCGCCGCAGUAA